rnacentral:rRNA from 1 species
CAGGCUUAACACAUGCAAGUCGAGGGGCAGCAUGGUCUUAGCUUGCUAAGGCCGAUGGCGACCGGCGCACGGGUGAGUAACACGUAUCCAACCUGCCGUCUACUCUUGGACAGCCUUCUGAAAGGAAGAUUAAUACAAGAUGGCAUCAUGAGUCCGCAUGUUCACAUGAUUAAAGGUAUUCCGGUAGACGAUGGGGAUGCGUUCCAUUAGAUAGUAGGCGGGGUAACGGCCCACCUAGUCUUCGAUGGAUAGGGGUUCUGAGAGGAAGGUCCCCCACAUUGGAACUGAGACACGGUCCAAACUCCUACGGGAGGCAGCAGUGAGGAAUAUUGGUCAAUGGGCGAGAGCCUGAACCAGCCAAGUAGCGUGAAGGAUGACUGCCCUAUGGGUUGUAAACUUCUUUUAUAAAGGAAUAAAGUCGGGUAUGGAUACCCGUUUGCAUGUACUUUAUGAAUAAGGAUCGGCUAACUCCGUGCCAGCAGCCGCGGUAAUACGGAGGAUCCGAGCGUUAUCCGGAUUUAUUGGGUUUAAAGGGAGCGUAGAUGGACGUUUAAGUCAGUUGUGAAAGUUUGCGGCUCAACCGUAAAAUUGCAGUUGAUACUGGAUAUCUUGAGUGCAGUUGAGGCAGGCGGAAUUCGUGGUGUAGCGGUGAAAUGCUUAGAUAUCACGAAGAACUCCGAUUGCGAAGGCAGCCUGCUAAGCUGCAACUGACAUUGAGGCUCGAAAGUGUGGGUAUCAAACAGGAUUAGAUACCCUGGUAGUCCACACGGUAAACGAUGAAUACUCGCUGUUUGCGAUAUACUGCAAGCGGCCAAGCGAAAGCGUUAAGUAUUCCACCUGGGGAGUACGCCGGCAACGGUGAAACUCAAAGGAAUUGACGGGGGCCCGCACAAGCGGAGGAACAUGUGGUUUAAUUCGAUGAUACGCGAGGAACCUUACCCGGGCUUAAAUUGCAGAUGAAUUACGGUGAAAGCCGUAAGCCGCAAGGCAUCUGUGAAGGUGCUGCAUGGUUGUCGUCAGCUCGUGCCGUGAGGUGUCGGCUUAAGUGCCAUAACGAGCGCAACCCUUGUUGUCAGUUACUAACAGGUUCCGCUGAGGACUCUGACAAGACUGCCAUCGUAAGAUGUGAGGAAGGUGGGGAUGACGUCAAAUCAGCACGGCCCUUACGUCCGGGGCUACACACGUGUUACAAUGGGGGGUACAGAGGGCCGCUACCACGCGAGUGGAUGCCAAUCCCCAAAACCUCUCUCAGUUCGGACUGGAGUCUGCAACCCGACUCCACGAAGCUGGAUUCGCUAGUAAUCGCGCAUCAGCCACGGCGCGGUGAAUACGUUCCCGGGCCUUGUACACACCGCCCGUCAAGCCAUGGGAGCCGGGGGUACCUGAAGUGCGUAACCGCGAGGAGCGCCCUAGGGUAAAACUGGUGACUGGGGCUAAGU